rnacentral:lncRNA from 10 species
CCAGGCUACUAGACGCAACAAUAGAAUUACCAUAUUGUUUUUCCUGGUUUGAAAGGACCAGAUGGAAAGAAACUGGGCAAGCCAAUGAAAGUCUCUGGGGAUCAUGGGAAUUGAGUGUCUAUGAAAACCAUAUUCCAGACAAGAAUAUAGUCUAAGGACACAGCAAGAGGCAACAUUUUGGAAGCAGAGGGCAACUCUCACUGGAAACCAAAUCUCCUGGCACCUUGAUCUUGGAUUUUACAGCCUCCAGAACUGAUAGCUGGGAGGCAUUACAUAGUCAUGUGCGAGGUCAAAACUGAGUCACCACCACAACCAAGUUCCAGCUGGCAAGAAGAGGAAAAAUAACACAGAGGAGUUAUGACCAGUGUUGUAAGGAUCUGGCCUAGAAAUGGCAUGCAUCUCUUCCACUAAUAUCCUAUUGGUAAAAAUGUAGUCACAUGGGCACACCACCUAUCUGCAUGGAAGGCUGGGAAAUGUUGAUCGGUAGGGCAGCCAUAUGUGUAGGAAGGAGAAAACAGAAUUUGGUGGAUACCUAGUAGUCUCUGCCAUACCCUUGACCAGAAAUUUUUCUUCUAAAGAAUUUAAUUCUAAAAGUUAUAGACAUUCCCAAAGAUAUACCUGCAAGCAUCACAGCUUUGUGUAUAAUUGCAAAAGUUGAAAUCAACAUGAAUGCCCAAAAUAGUGAAUUAUUUAAACAGAUUAUUACCCAUAUUAUGAAGAAAUACUCUGCAACUCUUAAAAAUAAAUGUAAUGUGCCAGGCGCAAUGGGAUAUGCCUGCAGGCCCAGCUACACGGGAGGCCAAGGCAGGAGGAUCACUUGAAAUCAAGAGUUCAAGUCUAGCC